GACGAACGCUGGCGGCGUGCUUAACACAUGCAAGUCGAACGGAAAGGCCCUGCUUUUGUGGGGUGCUCGAGUGGCGAACGGGUGAGUAACACGUGAGUAACCUGCCCUUGACUUUGGGAUAACUUCAGGAAACUGGGGCUAAUACCGGAUAGGAGCUCCUGCUGCACGGUGGGGGUUGGAAAGUUUCGGCGGUUGGGGAUGGACUCGCGGCUUAUCAGCUUGUUGGUGGGGUAGUGGCUUACCAAGGCUUUGACGGGUAGCCGGCCUGAGAGGGUGACCGGCCACAUUGGGACUGAGAUACGACCCAGACUCCUACGGGAGGCAGCAGUGGGGAAUAUUGCACAAUGGGCGGAAGCCUGAUGCAGCAACGCCGCGUGCGGGAUGACGGCCUUCGGGUUGUAAACCGCUUUCGCCUGUGACGAAGCGUGAGUGACGGUAAUGGGUAAAGAAGCACCGGCUAACUACGUG
rnacentral:rRNA from 1 species